GACGAACGCUGGCGGCGUGCUUAACACAUGCAAGUCGAACGGAAAGGCCCUGCUUUUGUGGGGUGCUCGAGUGGCGAACGGGUGAGUAACACGUGAGUAACCUGCCCUUGACUUUGGGAUAACUUCAGGAAACUGGGGCUAAUACCGGAUAGGAGCUCCUGCUGCAUGGUGGGGGUUGGAAAGUUUCGGCGGUUGGGGAUGGACUCGCGGCUUAUCAGCUUGUUGGUGGGGUAGUGGCUUACCAAGGCUUUGACGGGUAGCCGGCCUGAGAGGGUGACCGGCCAAAUUGGGACUGGGAUACGGGCCCGACUCCUACGGGGGGCAGCAGUGGGGAAUAUUGCACAAUGGGCGGAAGGCUGAUGCAGCAACGCCGCGUGCGGGAUGACGGCCUUCGGGUUGGAAACCGCUUUCGCCUGUGACGAAGCGUGAGUGACGGUAAUGGGUAAAGAAGCACCGGCUAACUACGUG
rnacentral:rRNA from 1 species